GAUCGCUUUCUCAGCGCUUCGCCAAUUGCUUCCUCUGACACUGGCGGUUGUCAUGGUUGGACCUUGAGCGUCGUAAGUUAGAAAUGGAGUCUGCCUAUCUUCAAAAGCACCUUGGGACAUGUCUAAUUCAGGGUCUUGCAGAAGUGGCAAGAGUUCACCCUGUGGAUCCAAUAGAAUAUUUAGCUUUGUGGAUUUACAAUUAUAAGGAGAAUGCUACUAUGGAACAGCUGAGGCAGAAGGAAAUGGCCCAGUUGGAGCAUGAAAGAGCAUUAGCACUGGUGGAGCAGGAAUUGCAGGAGAAGCUCAGAGCUGAAGAGCUCUUGUUUCAGCAGCAGCAGCUGGCAUUGCAGCUGGAGUUGGAAAUGCAAGAAAGAGAAAGGCAGAGAACAGAAGAACUUGGGAGAGCUCAGGAACAAUUAGAGAAGAAGAUGAGAAUGAAUAUGGAAAAUAUAGGCAAGGGAGAAGAUGCCUCACAUUCAGAGGAAGGAGCACAAGAGUCGGGCAAAACACUAGCAGAAAUUAGUGAUAGAUAUGGUGCACCUAACUUGAGCAGAGUGGAAGAAGUUGAUGAGCCAAUGUUAUCUGAUGGGCUGUGAGCCACCAGGAAAAUGCUCUGAGGGACAAGGGCAUGGAGACUGGACUUGUCUGGACAAGUCAUCCUGUGAACCUGAAGUUAAAGGUCUGAGCCUGAAAUGAGCCCAGAGGAUGAAGGAGAGGAGACUGCUGCCCAGGGGACGAAGCAGUAUAGUACUGUGCCUGGUCUGCAUGGAGCCAGGAGGAUGGUUGCAUUAAACAUUGAUCAAGACUUGUAGGAUC